GGCCUGAUGGUCUAGGGGUAUGAUUCUCGCUUAGGGUGCGAGAGGUCCCGGGUUCAAAUCCUGGUCAGCCCA
rnacentral:tRNA from 1 species